ACCCCGUGCGUCUCUCUUCUUUCCCUCUCCCUCUGUCUACCGCGCGCGCCCGCCGCUACCUGCCAGCCGCACGCCCGCCGCCAGCGCCCCGCCGCAACCCCGCGCGCCGGCUCGAGUACUUCGCUGUCCGCUCCCAUUCAACUCCGGCCCAGCUGCGUGCUGCUCCGGCACCGGCAGGCGGAUAAGCCCAGCAGGCAAGCAGGCAGGAGACUAGGAGAGGAGGAGAGCUCAGCACUGCACGCGCGCUCCCCUCCCCUUGCUGGCCAAAUCGAUCGGUCCCCUUCAGGCUUAAGGCUUCGGAGCUUGCUUUACUUCAGGUGAGAUUACUUCAUGAGCCUCUGCCUCUAGAAGAACCCAGCGAACCGCCCGCCCGCGAUGCGGCUGCUGCAGCACUCGUUCGUGGCCCAGCCGCCGUCGCAGCAGCCGCUGACCGCCUGCCCGCCGUCAUGAUCGAUCGAUUGACUGAAUAAUUCCUCCCCGUCGCGGUCCAACUAGGGCGGUGGCGGCUGGAUUCAUCUCUCUGCUCAACUUUGGAUGCUUGGUUGCCUGAUUGGUUGGAUGGCCGUGAGAUGUACGUUCUUCCUUCCUAGCCAUUUUGGGAAAUUCAGGCCUCCUCCACAUCAAUCAUCAGCGCAUCAUCCAUUGUCUCCAGGAAUUAUAAGUUAUCGCCUUAGCACUUCUUCUCCUUUCAAUGUUCAUGUUCUCUUACAGAUGAUAAUCAUAUAAUAUGGGGUUGUUAAGAAGAAGAAGAAACCAUCGCGUUUCGUGAUUUUGUAAUACAUACUGCCAUCUCACAGCUAGUCACUCGGUGGGCUGGAAAUGGAGGGAGUAGCUAGGUGGCUGGUGGUGACCGUGACCCCCCUCAAUCAAGCUCUCAUGGUGGUGGAGGCGAUGAUUGACAAGCAUCAGCAUGGCACGGCAGCCUUGAUGCUAGCUUCUUGGAUUCUGCAAUCCUGGACAGAAUGACGGACGGACGAAAUCUCCCUCGUCCCAUUUUUUUAAACCCAGAAAAAGGGUGGAGUGAGGAAAAGACAAACCGAACCUUGGAAACGAGAACCAAAUCAUCUCCGCAUUGGUGCGGUGGUCUGCGGAACCAAUCAUCUCCCUCGCUCUGUUCGUCUGAAUCGUCUUGAUGCAUGCUGAAGUAUAAUUCGGGAUGUAUCCUUGAAGUGUAAACAUUUAAGGAUUGUGUAAUUCUUUGGGUACCAAGACCCAUUUUUUCAAUUUUAAACAAUCUAGUUUCUGCUUAUUUUCUGAAUGACCUGAAAGCUAGCGAUAUGCCCAUAUAUAUAACUACUUUUGAUCAACCUGAACACUUUCUCAAGUCAUUGCAUACAGAGCAAAAAUCUUGAUAUUUGCACCCACUAACAAGAUUUAUUUCUGUGUCUCAGUCCUUUGCGAAUAUCAAAUGGUACUUUGCUGCAGCUCCUUGAUAGAUUUUGUUUCUUUUUUCCUUAUCGUGUAGUGGCAAAGGUUAUUUUCAGGGGGCAAAACUGAUGGUUAUAAUUUUUUUUUCCAUAGUUGGCAGGUGUAUUUUCAGGGGAUGUUGCUUGAGCCCAAAUGGAUGACAGCAGAAGUGUGAUCUGACGUGCGCUCAGCUUCACCAACACACUGAUUCUUGAAUGCAUUAAGCAUAGUGCACAAGCAGUUAUUCAUGAUAAGAAAUCUUUUGCUCAAAUGUAGCUAAUUAGCACUUCAUACAUUCUGGAUAGAAUCGAUUAUACCAUUUCGUCAUCUGACUUGUUUGAAGAACUUUGGUCUUCCUUUACAGACAUAGAAGGUGCUCUCAAAGACAUCGAAGGUCUUCCUUUACCGUUUCGUCAUCUGCAAUGUGCUUAUAGUAUGAGAGUUGCCUGCUAAUUCCUCUAAAUAUAGCAUUAGUUCAGCUUGUAGCUUCAUAUUACAUCAGGUAAUGGAUGGCAUCAGAACUAUUCUCUGUAAUGAUGGUAUAAGAGCUCACUUGCUAAUUCUUCUGAACAUUCCCUGGGUUCAGCUUGUAACUUUAGUUAGAUCAAUGGAUAUCAUCUAAACUAUUCUUUUCUUUUUUUCUUUUGAAACAGGGCAUAUCUACUUAGUACCUGCAUUUUUUUGUUGCUUGUUGAUGAUACUAAUACUGUCUGAUAUAACUAGUUGCUUUUUCUCUCUUUGGUAAGAAUCUGCAAUUAAAUUUGACAUCCAUUGGUUAUAUAUUUUUUCCUUGUUCAGUUACCACACAUGUUGCCAUCUGAAAAGGCAUUUUCAGCUGUUGUAUCUGCUCUUGGCAUCUACAACAAAGACGGGAUAGUAGUUUAUGAUGGAAAGGGGCUGUUCAGUGAUGCUCGUGUUUGGUGGUAAGCUUUUUUAUUCACAAAAAUAUGUAAAAGAAGGAGUUCAUCAAGCAGUUUGCUGAGAUUUCAUCAAUAAACCAACGAAUUUUGUUAUCCGGUCCAGCAGGUUCUGAGAUUUAUCAGGAAACAUUGGUAAAGGCACUUGCUAAACAUUUUGGUGCUAGACUUCUUGUCUUGGAUUCACUUUUGCUACCUUGGGUAAGCUCAUACUGUAUAUUUAUUUACCUGCUCAUGAACAUUCAGAAGCUAAGAAACUUUGAAUUAUUGCACGUUCUAUUACAAUUUUCCUAUACUGAACAUGAGACUUCUCAUAGGCAACCCAGUUAUGAGCUUGCUUUUGUAUUGACUAUCCUGUGAAAUCAGAUAUUCUUUCCCCAUAUCACAUUUUUUGUAGCACCAUAUUAGUCCAAUACAUAUAUUUGUUUAUAUAAAUUGCUUGAUUGAUCUCUAGGGGACCAAGUUAUGGUUAUCGAGGCAGAGUGAUGCACUAGAUCUAAGGUGUGUUUGAAUGCACUAGAUCUAAUAUGUAGUUGGCUAAAAAAUUACUAGUAGAGUUAGCUAGCUAACAAAUAGAUAUCUAACUAUUAGCUAAUUUGCUAAAAGUAGCUAAUAGUUGAAUUAUUAGUUAUGCUGUUUGGAUGUCUUUAGCUAUUUUUAACAGCUAACUAUUAGUUAUAGUGCAUUCAAACACCCCUCCCUAAAUGCAUUUCAUCUUACAUUUGCAUACUUCUCUCAGGUCAACAGACUUGACACGAAGGAGCAGUGUGUAUGUUCAUAGGAGCUGUUGUUCUGGACAUGGUUUUGGAGUCUGCAGCAGCUUUAGAACAUUCGCACACCUGAUUGCGAUGAAUUCGUAGAAAUGCUUUUAAAACUUGAUUACUGGUCUAAACUGGCUAGGCCCCGUCCGAAUGUCAUCACAUAACAACAGUAUGGUGGCCAAAUCACAAGCUUUUACACGUAUAGUAUAGUGUGUUUCAUCUUUACAAGAUCCUUUCCCUUUUCCUUUUCACCCCUAUCACCCCAACCCACCUACGCUACAUUACAUUUCCUGCUAUACCACCAAUCUGUAUACAAUUGAAAAACUACAGGCUACUACAACCCAAUGCUUCCUGAGAAUCUAGACAAAUUUGGACAGUGCGAGUUUCAAGUCCUGAUGGUAUUGUGGCAUAUUGGUUCCUGCAUGCAUUUUGCAAAUGAACAAGGCUAAGAGUUAUUUUAUACCUUGCAUUGCUGUAAUUUUUACUUCUCCCCACCAGGGACAUGGGUUCUUGUUGAGAUAUCUUGUUAACCCUUUAUUUUUGAUCAGUUAUUUCUCUUCAAGUUUAUCUGUUGGGGCCUAAUCCUCUUAGCGACGCGUCAUAUUAGAACCCGGGUGUUGUGUUAAAGCUUGGACAACCAAUCAUUUAUUAUCCGAGAAUUUAAUUUGGUUUUAUUAAUCAAUUUAAACCUUUCUAUAGGAAGAGAGUGGCUCUUCACUCCCAUCGGAUUAACAAAAAGUGAGUCUCAUGUUUUCUUAUUUGUUUGACUCAUGUUGGUGUGAUAUUUUGCUAAACAGAUUUUGCAUAUCAUAGCGACGUUUGUCAUUUUGUAUCUAUACAUUUAUGCUAAUUUUUAACUCUCGUGGCAACGCAUGGGUACGUACCUAGUAAAUAUCUGUAAUGUUAGAAUCUUAGUAUUUCCAUCACUUGCCAUUCCUCAAAUAUAAAUAUAUUGCAUCUAUUAUAUGGCUCUUCUGACAAAAGAAGUUUGAAAAUAGAGAGGAAGGAUAAGGACGCAAAGAAAAGAAGUAAAACGAGGAGAAAGCACAAAAGUUCAUCAGAGUCAAGUUCCAGCUCAUCUUCAGAAUCUUCAAGCAGCGACGAUGAGGGUAGGGGUUCAAGGAAGUCCAGAUCACAGUCGAGAUCAAAGAGAACAAGGAAGGAAAAGAAGAGUCGGUCAAGGUCCAAGCACAGAGGCAGUGAAAGCGAGGAGGAAGGCCUGAUUGGUGGGUUUGGAUGUAUCAUUCAACACAGAUUACUUCUGAAGGUUGAGCGAGCCGUUUACCAUGGUGUUCUCAAUAUGAUGCUCAGCUGUUAAGAGGGUUUGGUCAAGUUGUGUGGCUUCCAAAAACUUUGUAAGCAACUGGAUUUCGGCUCUCAUCAAGUGACUCCUCCCCCUCAUGUUGACUUUGCGGACAGAUGUCUCAAUUUUAGUGGUGGAGCUACGAACAACAAUCCGAUGUCCUGAUCGAGAGCGAUGGAGUUAAUGUUUGAACUUGUGUGUUUGAACUUGUGAACUAAAAAUGUGAACUAUGGAUGUAAACUUGUGUGAAUUUGUGAACUUAUGUAUUUGACUUAUGUGAAUUUUGUGAACUUAUAUAUUUGGACUUGUGUGAAUUUGUGAUAUGAACAUAUAUCAAUGUGUUUGAAAUCUGUAUUGUAUGUGAUAUAUUGUGUUGCAUGUGA